UAUAUAUGUAAUCUUUCAUCAACCAAGAAAAUACACUCACACAAUUAGCUCUUCUUCUCGCAAUCAGCUACUCCAAACUCUGUUAAAAUGGCUCACAAGUUCGCUUUCUUUUAUUGUGUUCUCCUUGUGGCACUAACUGUUCAUUCAAACACUGGGGCGAUGGCGGUGCGAGACUUACCUUUAGAAGAAAAGGUGAUUGAGCAAAUUCUAGUACCAGAUCUUACUAAUAAAAAAGGAUGUUACAACCUCUGCAAAUCUGAUGCAAAUUGCAAUAACAGAGGUUCAGAGUGUAGGCAAUGUCGAACGGCACAUAAUCAUUAUGAUAUUACAAUGAGAUGCUAUCCCAGGAUUUGAAUCUCAUAUGAUAAAAAUGAUUUUACACAAAUAAUCGGUCGAAUUCAUAAAUACAAUUUUUGUGGUCUUUUUAUUUUUACUUGCUCCGUUUUAAGCUUUGUGUCAUGUGUAAGGUAAAGAAUACAAGUGACUAUCUAUUGUUCUGGAAUCUGAAUAAAUAUGUGCUGGAUAUGAUAAACUCCAAAAGAUGCAAAUAGUCUAAGGUGUUACUAUUACGAAAAAUAUGUGUUUUCGUAUGAGUAUGUUGUAUUUUUAUUUUAUUUAUUAUUUCUUGUUGAAUGAA